rnacentral:rRNA from 1 species
GACGAACGCUGGCGGCGUGCUUAACACAUGCAAGUCGAACGGUGACCCAGGGCUUGCCCUGGUGAUCAGUGGCGAACGGGUGAGUAACACGUGGGCAACCUGCCCCUGACUUCGGGAUAACUCCUCGAAAGAGGAGCUAAUACCGGAUACGACCACUUCGGACAUCCGAUGGUGGUGGAAAGUUUUUCGGUCAGGGAUGGGCCCGCGGCCUAUCAGCUAGUUGGUGGGGUAAUGGCCUACCAAGGCGACGACGGGUAGCCGGCCUGAGAGGGCGACCGGCCACACUGGGACUGAGACACGGCCCAGACUCCUACGGGAGGCAGCAGUGGGGAAUAUUGCGCAAUGGGCGAAAGCCUGACGCAGCGACGCCGCGUGAGGGAUGAAGGCCUCGGUUGUAACCUCUUUCAGCAGGGACGAAGCGAAAGUGACGGUACCUGCAGAAGAAGCACCGGCUAACUACGUGCCAGCAGCCGCGGUAAU